GUUUUGUUAUAAUUCCAUAUUAGAAAAGGAAUCUGCAAAAAAUGAAGUCUAAACACUGUCCAAACAGUCCAGUUCGCUGAGAAGUUUAAGUUUAUUACUCUCAAAAACAAAUUCAAUGGUGUACAAAACUGAUCAUCAUUCAUCCCUUGAGACUAUAACGUUCUCGUUUUUUGUUGAUCGAGCUCAAUAAUAAAUCAUUUAUCAUUUAUCAAUGAUACGUUUUUUCAAUAGCGAUUUACUUCAAUGUCAAACCAUGGUUGAACAAAUCGUAAAGCCAAUUUUAAUCUUUGCUUUUGGUUUAUCGCAAAAUCAAAUCUCUGUUUUCUGAUUGAACUUCAAGAACUUUUUUUUAAACUAUUAUUUUAUAGGAAUUAUUAGAUUUGUGAAAGCUGACAUCAAAUACGGACUUCUUUC
rnacentral:lncRNA from 1 species